UACGUGAGGUGGCGAGUCGUUCGGUUCGAUUACUGGGCGUAAAGGGCGUGCAGGCGGUUUGUUAAGUGCAGGGUGAAAGCUCCCGGCUCAACUGGGAGAGGUCCUUGCAUACUGGCGAACUCGAGGGAGGCAGAGGAAAGUGGAAUUCCCGGUGUAGUGGUGAUAUGCGUAGAUAUCGGGAGGAACACCUGUGGCGAAGGCGGCUUUCUGGGCCUUACCUGACGCUGAGACGCGAAAGCGUGGGGGAGCGAACCGG
rnacentral:rRNA from 1 species